UGUUUGGUUUUCGCGUUCGGCAAAGGCCGUGAGAAAUGGCUCUGCUGCUGUCUGCGGCGUGACUGUGCCAUUCGCGUAUCCUCGUACCGCGCAGGCUGCAGUUGAACAAGCGAUAGCUGCCGUACCGACCGGGUUUUAUGCCAGUCCUAAUGAUGUCCUAGCCAGAACUGUUCUGAAGUCAUCUUGUUGAUAAAGGAAACUUGCAGGUGGGGGGGGGGGACUGGUUUUGCAGAAGAUUACGAGUGAAGAUGACUGUUCAAGAUGGUUUCGUUUAGGGCCUGAUCCAAAACCCAUUAUAAUUAAUGGAAAGACUUCCACUGACUUCACAGGGCUUCAGAUCAGGUCAUUUAAUCUUUUUUUUCAUAAUUAUAGUAAUUUUAAUUUCAUAGCAAGGCAUCUCAAGAUGCAAUGGACACCGUGUGAUUUGAUUUACAUUUGUUUUCUAGUAUUCACAGCACACACAUUCAUGUUUUUAAUAUUAAUAGCAGUCCAACUCUAACUGCUGAGCAAGUGACACCUCACCUAAUCUUUCUUAAAUUAAUAUGUUUACUCUGUUAUUAUUAUACUUCAUGCUUCAGGAAAAUAAAUGCAAAAUAAUCCUGGGGUGAAAUUCACCCCCGUGCAGAGGAUCAGCUCAAGACCUAGUGGCUGCUUCAGUUCCACUUAAACCCACAAAAUAGCACUUCAGUGGUGCAUAGGACUUGUGUAGGCACUUUGGUCAGGGGUGCAUUUACCAUUAAUGUUUACAAUGGCCCUAAUGUAAAGUCACCAGAUAUUACCCAGUAUGGGCCAGAAUACUGAAAUUUGAAGCAGUUGAAUUUUACUUAAAUACUGAAAAAAAACUGAUGCAAUAAAAGUGUUAUUAACAUUAAUCAUGUGGGUGAAAGUUGCACAUACACACAUCAACAGCAUAUCACACAGCAAUUUGUUUUUUGUUUUUCUUCAUUAUCAAUGUCUUUUUUGCACUCAUCUUUCUUCCAAAACCCCAUACAAGUUUAUUUUUAGCUUUUUGAGGCUGCAUGUAAUUUAUCAGGCAAAUACAGCACUGACACUUACAUUGCAAUUGGUUUCUUGCAAAAAAAAAUUGUAUUGACAACAUUUUAUGUGAGCAAUACUGCCACCUUCUUAAAGUGCCUAUAUACCAGCUAUAAUAAAUUCUCUGCAUCCUAUUCUGCUAUAACUUUUCAUCUAAAUAUUUCAUACACUACAUAUUUAGUCCGAGGAAACUGUACUUGACUUUUGAAACACUUGGGAGGAGAAAUGUGAUAACCUACUAAAGUGCCUUGCCCUUAACUGAAAUAAUGACAAAGUAAUUAAAGUUAAAGCAAAAAGG